UGUGCCAGCCGCCGCGGUAAUUCCAGCUCCAAUAGCGUAUAUUAAAGUUGUUGCAGUUAAAAAGCUCGUAGUUGAACCUUGGGCCUGGCUAGCCGGUCCGCCUCACCGCGUGUACUGGUCCGGCUGGGCCUUUCCUUCUGGGGAUCCGCAUGCCCUUCACUGGGUGUGUCGGGGAACCAGGACUUUUACUGUGAAAAAAUUAGAGUGUUCAAAGCAGGCCUUCGCUCGAAUACAUUAGCAUGGAAUAAUAGAAUAGGACGUUGCGGUUCUAUUUUGUUGGUUUCUAGGACCGCCGUAAUGAUUAAUAGGGAUAGUCGGGGGCAUCAGUAUUCAAUUGUCAGAGGUGAAAUUCUUGGAUUUACUGAAGACUAACUACUGCGAAAGCAUUUGCCAAGGAUGGUUUCAUUAAUCAGGAACGAAAGUUAGGGGAUCGAAGACGAUCAGAUACCGUCGUAGUCUUAACCAUAAACUAUGCCGACUAGGGAUCGGGCGAUGUUAUCAUUUUGACUCGCUCGGCACCUUACGAGAAAUCAUAAGUUUUUGGGUUCUGGGGGGAGUAUGGUCGCAAGGCUGAAACUUAGAGAAAUUGACGGAAGGGCACCACCAGGCGUGGAGCCUGCGGCUUAAUUUGACUCAACACGGGGAAACUCACCAGGUCCAGACACAAUAAGGAUUGACAGAUUGAGAGCUCUUUCUUGAUUUUGUGGGUGGUGGUGCAUGGCCGUUCUUAGUUGGUGGAGUGAUUUGUCUGCUUAAUUGCGAUACGAACGAGACCUUAACCUACUAAAUAGCCCGGCCCGCUUUUGCGGGUCGCUGGCUUCUUAGAGGGACUAUCGGCUCAAGCCCGAUGGAAGUUUGAGGCAUUA
rnacentral:rRNA from 1 species